rnacentral:snoRNA from 1 species
GGGUUCUUCUCAGAAUAGGGGUUCCAAAGAAUGGAUCUUUGUUUAUAACACAUCCAAUAGCAAUUUAUGGCCUUUUUUUUUUUGGUCAGUCAUGG